rnacentral:rRNA from 1 species
AUUGAACGCUGGCGGAAUGCUUUACACAUGCAAGUCGAACGGCAGCACGGGGGCAACCCGUGGUGGCGAGUGGCGAACGGGUGAGUAAUACAUCGGAACGUGCCCAGUCGUGGGGGAUAACUACGCGAAAGCGUAGCUAAUACCGCAUACGAUCUACGGAUGAAAGCGGGGACUCGCAAGAGCCUCGCGCGAUUGGAGCGGCCGAUGGCAGAUUAGGUAGUUGGUGGGGUAAAGGCUCACCAAGCCAACGAUCUGUAGCUGGUCUGAGAGGACGACCAGCCACACUGGGACUGAGACACGGCCCAGACUCCUACGGGAGGCAGCAGUGGGGAAUUUUGGACAAUGGGCGCAAGCCUGAUCCAGCCAUUCCGCGUGCAGGAUGAAGGCCC